ACGGGGGCAGCAGUGGGGAAUAUUGGGCAAUGGGCGAAAGCCUGACCCAGCAAUGCCGCGUGAAGGAAGAAGGUCUUCGGAUUGUAAACUUCUUUUAUGAGGGACGAAGGAAUUGACGGUACCUCAUGAAUAAGCCACGGCUAACUACGUGCCAGCAGCCGCGGUAAUACGUAGGUGGCAAGCGUUAUCCGGAUUUACUGGGUGUAAAGGGCGCGUAGGCGGGGAAGCAAGUCAGAUGUGAAAUCUAUGGGCUUAACUCAUAAACUGCAUUUGAAACUGUUUCUCUUGAGUGCUGGAGAGGUAGAUGGAAUCCCUAGUGUAGCGGUGAAAUGCGUAGAUAUUAGGAAGAACACCAGUGGCGAAGGCGAUCUACUGGACAGUAACUGACGCAGAGGCGCGAAAGCGUGGGGAGCAAACAGGAUUAGAUACCCUGGUA
rnacentral:rRNA from 1 species